rnacentral:rRNA from 1 species
GAUGAACGCUGGCGGCGUGCCUAAUACAUGCAAGUCGAGCGAACAGACGAGGAGCUUGCUCCUCUGACGUUAGCGGCGGACGGGUGAGUAACACGUGGAUAACCUACCUAUAAGACUGGGAUAACUUCGGGAAACCGGAGCUAAUACCGGAUAAUAUAUUGAACCGCAUGGUUCAAUAGUGAAAGACGGUUUUGCUGUCACUUAUAGAUGGAUCCGCGCCGCAUUAGCUAGUUGGUAAGGUAACGGCUUACCAAGGCAACGAUGCGUAGCCGACCUGAGAGAGUGAUCGGCCACACGGGAACUGAGACACGGUCCAGACUCCUACGGGAGGCAGCAGUAGGGAAUCUGCCGCAGUGGGCGAAAGCUUGACGGAGCAACGCCGCGUGAGUGAUGAAGGUCUUCGGAUCGUAAAACUCUGUUAUUAGGGAAGAACAAAUGUGUAAGUAACUAUGCACGUCUUGACGGUACCUAGUCAGAAAGCCACGGCUAACUACGUG